GAUGAACGCUGGCGGCGUGCCUAAUACAUGCAAGUCGAGCGAACAGAUGAGGAGCUUGCUCCUCUGACGUUAGCGGCGGACGGGUGAGUAACACGUGGAUAACCUACCUAUAAGACUGGGAUAACUUCGGGAAACCGGAGCUAAUACCGGAUAAUAUAUUGAACCGCAUGGUUCAAUAGUGAAAGACGGUUUUGCUGUCACUUAUAGAUGGAUCCGCGCCGCAUUAGCUAGUUGGUAAGGUAACGGCUUACCAAGGCAACGAUGCGUAGCCGACCUGAGAGGGGGAUAGGCCACACGGGAACGGAGACACGGUCAAGACUCCUACGGGAGGCAGCAGUAGGGAAUGGUACGCAAUGGGCGAAAGCCUGACGGAGCAACGCGGCGUGAGUGAUGAAGGUCUUCGGAGCGGAAAACUCUGUUAUUAGGGAAGAACAAAUGUGUAAGUAACUAUGCACGUAUUGACGGUACCGAAUCAGAAAGCAACGGCUAACUACGUG
rnacentral:rRNA from 1 species